rnacentral:lncRNA from 1 species
AGGAUAAAAUUAUCAAAAAAUAGGGUUUGUGCUUUUCGCCCCAACAAUUUUAAUUUUUUUUUUAAUUAUUUUCGUUUACAAACUGUUAUUAAGGGUAAUAUUAUCUUUGCACAGUUAACUAACGGUCAAUGUUAAAGUUAACUGAUAGUAGGAGAUUUUUUACAAAUAAAUAAAUUUUCGCCAUCUACUUGCAACAAGCCCAAACCGGAGGUUUUUAAAAAUUAUCCAUUUUUACCAUCCCUACCCGUGACUCAAACUCAUUAAAGAUGAGGGUAUUACCGUAAAAACACAUGACUACAAACGCCCCGUGAUCGCGAUCGCGAUCAUGAUCCUCUUAAAUUAUAUCAACCAUCAAUCAUUAAUUUGUAGCCAGCUCCGAGUAGAGAUGGCAAAACCCCGGGCCGGGUCCGGGUAUUGCCAUGACCGGACCCUGCCCGGAUGCAACCGGUCCGGGUCCGGGUCCGGGCCGGGUUUUAAUCCGGGUACCCGGAUUUUAUAUUUUUUAAUAUUUUAUGUG